CGUCUUGCCUCAAAAGGCAUAAUAGACAAAGGCCGGGAAAUACGGACUUGAGAGCCAAGAAACUGCAACAAUGGUGGCCGUGUUACUUACUAGUUACUACGGUUCCCAACACUUCAUCACAUCUCUGCGUUUAGUAGAGCAGCAAGAUGCAAAUGUGGUGAUUUUUAUCAAUUGCAUGGUGGAUUGCUCGACUCAAACUUCUGUGUAAAGGGAGGAUUAAUAUAUCCAGAUAACUUCUGAUUGCAGCUGCAGUAGAUCUACUUGAAUUGCUUCUAUUUUACCAGCUUCAAGUCAUCAAUGAAAUGCUUAAUCCAGAUAGUACAAGUACAUGCAAUGCUACAACAAUGUACUCUGCUUCUUGUGCGUACCUUGCAAUACACUAUUGUCUCUUGCUAAACCAAGAAAGUGCUGCACUUCCAAAGAGGAAAACAUGCAUUGAGGUGGAUUUACUAUUGUUCUUAUCCCCUGCAAAAUCUACAUUUGAAUAUCCUAGAACUUCAAGCUUAUUCACUUCAAAACAUAAUUUAAGAUGUUUUGUUCCCUUAAUAUACUUUAGAAUUCAUUUGACUGCUUUCUAAUGGGCUAUACCGUGAUUAUUUUGAUAUCUACGUACAAGAAUUACAACAUAGCUCAAAUAUAGUAUUGUACAUCAUACUGCAUAUACUAAGCUAUUAAUAACUUGUGUAUAUGGAUCAUUAGGCUUUUCUUGUUCUUCUAUUGGAAAAUUCUUCUCAUAUAACUUUAUUUCCUUUUCAACAGGAGUAAACAGUGGUCUAAAAUUUUCCAUUUUAGAUCUCGUAAUAACAGAUUCAAGAUAUCUGCAUUGCGUUAAGUUUAACAUUCUAGAUUUUUUAUCUCUAGUUAUUUUUAUGUUUAGGCAAUAAGAUGCUUCUCCCAUAUCUUUCAUCUCAAACCAAGAAGAAAGCUAUAACAUAGUUUUAUCAAUCAUUUUAAAGUUAUUUCUAGCUAAUAUGAUAUCAACUAUAUAUAAUAAGAAUAUUGUGAAAUUUCACCCACUCUUAAGACAUAUACACAAUUAUCCAGUCUAUUUAAUUCAUAUCCCAUUUGAAGGAUAACAUCAUAAAAUGUUAAAUAUCAUUACCUUGAAGAUUGUUUUAAACCAUAUAAGAACUUGUUUAAUAUAUAUACUUUGCUUUCUUGGCCUUUAAUUAUGAAACCCUUGUGUUGCUUCAUAUAGAUAGUUUCCUUUAGUUUGUCAUUCAAGAAUGCCAUCUUUACAUUCAUUUAGUAUAGUUUUACGUCAUAAUAUGCUACAACUACCAAAAUUAUUCUAAUGAAUAUAAAUUUGCAAUAGGGAAAUAAGUGUUAACAUAGUCAACCCUUGUUCUUUGGGUAAAACAUUUUGCUACUAACCUAGCUUUAAAUUUAUCAAUAGAUCCAUCAGAUUUUAACUUCUUUUUAAGUACCCAUUUGCAACCUAUAGGUUUUCUAUCUGAUGGUAAAUCACAUAGAUCCUAAACUUUAUUUUUCUCAAUGGAAUCAAUUUCUUCUCUCAUGGCGUUAAGCCAUUCUUGAGAUUCUUGUAACUUUAUUGCAUCAAAGAAGUCAAAGGGAUCAUCAAUUUUAUCUAGGUCAAUAUUAUUAUCUAUCUCCUCAUUCAUGACCUAGAAAUCGUAUGAUAAAUGAGCUCUAAAUCGCUUUUGACUACAUAACAUAGGGUGUUUGGGCACUUCAAUAUCAUUAUGUUGAUUAGGGUUAUCCAUAUCCACUGUAGGUGGUGAUUCUAAGUUAUCUAUGAUCUUAAGUGGAUCAUCAUUAUCUACUAUAGGUGGGUUUUUUUCAUUGAAUUAUUUUGGAAACUCAGCAUCUCUACUUUCAAUGAGUCUUAUCCUUAUGAUAAAAUCUAUAGCCCUUUGAACAUUCACGGUAUCCUAUAAAAUAAAAAAUGAAAGUUUUGUUUUCUAAUUUAUUUAUUUGCUAAUAUAGAAUUAAAACAUGUACUGUUGACCCCCAGUUCUUUAAGUUGCUUAGAUUAGGUCUUCUACUCAUAGGGGUGGUAAUGGACCCAGGACCCAUACCCGGGUAUACUCGACAUGGGUUUGGGUAUGAGUUCAACAUUUGGACCUGUCGGGUCGUGUCCGGGUCCAAAACUUGGACUCGUACACUAGGUAUGGGUUCGAUUGGACCCGACUGUUGAGUAUUGAUGUAUUGUAUUCUUAAAAAAUAUAUUUGCCAAGGUGGAGUCAAAGAGACGACUUUGGAGGGUCGUUAAAAGCUCGAAAGGACUCAAUAAAUCUGUAAUGGGGUAUUUCGAUAAUUUGUACCAUCUACCUGGGACUCAAUAUUUAUUGUUGCGAUAGAGGCUCUUUUAGGGUUAAAGAAAAAAGGAGAUUUCUUUACAGUUAGCAAGUAGAGAGAGGUGUCAGGAAGAGAACAAUUGUAACCUUAUUCUCCAUUACCAGUAAAGAAACUCUCAUCUCCCCGUGGACGUAGGCAUGUUGCCAAACUACGUAUAUUUUUGCAUUGUAGUUAGUUGUCUCUUUCUUUUGGUAAUUGUUUCUUCUUUUUUGCUUCGUGGAUUGUUAUUUCGUUUCUACAAAUUGGUAUCAAAACCUACCAGAUUAUUCCGUUUUCUGGGGUUUGCUACCACGAUGACAGGAAGUGGCUCAAGCGUUACGUAUGACAUUGAGAAGUUUAAUGGAAAGAACAACUUCUUUGACGACAAAGGAUGGAGGAUCAUCUGAUACAGCAAGGUCUGGCUAAGGCUUUACUGGGUAAAUCAAAGAAACUAACAAAGAUAGACGAUGAAGAGUGGCAAGAGAUUGAAGAAAAGGCGGUAAGCACGAUUCGUUUGAAUCUAUCAGAUGACGCCUUGCGUUAUGUGGUGGACGUCAAAACUGUUCCGGAGGUCUGGACAAAACUCGAAAGUAUUUACAUGACAAAAUCCUUACGAACAAAUAGUUCUUGAAGAAGCAGUUGUAUUCUCUUCAGAUGGAAGAGAGCAAUUGCAACCCUAUUCUCCAUUGCCAGUAAAGACGCUUUCAUCUCCUCGUGGACGUAAGCAUGUUGCCGAACCACGUAUAUCUUUGCGUUGUGGUUGGUUGUCUCUUUCUUUGGAUGUUUGUUUCUUCUUUCUUGCUUCGUGGAUUGUUAUUUUGUUUCUACAAAUUGGUAUCAGAGCCUUCCAGGUUAUUUCGUUUUCUCGGGUUUGCUAGCACGAUGACAGGAAAAGGCUCAAGCGUCAAGUCUGACAUUGAGAAGUUCAAUGGAAAGAACAACUUCACUCUUUGGCGACGAAGGAUGAAGGAUCUUCUGAUACAACAAGGUCUGGCUAAGGCUUUCUUCAAUAAAUCGAAGAAACCAGCAAAGAUAGACGAUGAAGAGUGGCAAGAGAUUGAAGAAAAGGCGGUAAGAGCGAUUCGUCUAAAUCUAUCAGAUGACGCCUUACGUUAUAUGGUGGAUCUCGAAACUGCUCCAGAGGUUUGGACAAAACUCGAGAGUAUUUACAUGACAAAAUCCCUAAUGAACAAGUUGUUCUUGAAGAAGCAAUUGUAUCCUCUUCAUAUGGGAGAAGGCAUGGAUCUGAUUGACGAGAAAAAUUUUGUAUCCAUACAUGGGGUAUUUCGGUAAUUUGUACCAUCUGUCUGUGACUUAAUAUAUAUUGUUGCGAUGGGGGUUCUUUCAGGGUUAAGGAAAAAUGGAGAUUUAUUUGCAGUUAGCAAGCAUAGAGAGGUGUGAGGAAGAGAGCAAUUGUAGCCCUAUUUUUCAUUGCCAGUAAAGAAGCUCUUAUCUCCCCGUGGAUGGAGGCACAUUGUUAAACUACAUAUAUCUUUGCAUUGUA